AUUGAACGCUGGCGGCAUGCUUUACACAUGCAAGUCGAACGGUAACAGGCCUUCGGGCGCUGACGAGUGGCGAACGGGUGAGUAAUGCAUCGGAACGUGCCCAGAGGUGGGGGAUAACGCAGCGAAAGCUGUGCUAAUACCGCAUAUUAUCUGAGGAUGAAAGCGGGGGACUAAGCAGCAAUGUUUGGCCUCGCGCCUUUGGAGCGGCCGAUGUCAGAUUAGGUAGUUGGUGGGGUAAAGGCCUACCAAGCCGACGAUCUGUAGCUGGUCUGAGAGGACGACCAGCCACACUGGGACUGAGACACGGCCCAGACUCCUACGGGAGGCAGCAGUGGGGAAUUUUGGACAAUGGGCGCAAGCCUGAUCCAGCAAUGCCGCGUGCAGGAAGAAGGCCUUGGGUGUAAACUGCUUUGUUACGGAACGAAAAAGGCUCUGGUUAAUACCUGGGCGUCAUGACGGUACCGUAAGAAUAAGCACCGGCUAACUACGUAG
rnacentral:rRNA from 1 species